rnacentral:rRNA from 1 species
UACGGAGGGUGCAAGCGUUAUCCGGAUUCACUGGGUUUAAAGGGUGCGUAGGUGGGCUGGUAAGUCCGUGGUGAAAUCUCCGAGCUUAACUCGGAAACUGCCGUGGAUACUAUUAGUCUUGAAUACUGUGGAGGUAAGCGGAAUGUGUCAUGUAGCGGUGAAAUGCUUUGAUAUGACAUAGAACACCGAUAGCGAAGGCAGCUUGCUACACAGUCAUUGACACUGAGGCACGAAAGCGUGGGGAUCAAACAGG